AAGAGAAAGGCAGAGAGGAAGAGAAAGGCAGAGAGGAAAGGAGCAGAGAGGAAGAGAAAGGCAGAGAGGAAGAGAAAGGCAGAGAGGAAGAGAAAGGCAGAGAGGAAAGGAAAGGCAGAGAGGAAGAGAAAGGCAGAGAGGAAGAGAAAGGCAGAGAGGAAGAGAAAGGCAGAGAGGAAAGGAGCAGAGAGGAAGAGAAAGGCAGAGAGGAGAGGAGCAGAGAGGAAGAGAAAGGCAGAGAGGAGAGAGAAAGGCAGAGAGGAGAGGAGCAGAGAGGAAGAGAAAGGCAGAGAGGAAAGGAGCAGAGAGGAAGAGAAAGGCAGAGAGAGAGGAGGAAAGCAGAGAGGAGAGGAGCAGAGAGGAAGAGAAAGGCAGAGAGGAGAGGAGCAGAGAGGAAGAGAAAGGCAGAGAGGAAAGGAGCAGAGAGGAAGAGAAAGGCAGAGAG
ensembl:lncRNA